UGCAGUCGAACGAACUCUGGUAUUGAUUGGUGCUUGCAUCAUGAUUUACAUUUGAGUGAGUGGCGAACUGGUGAGUAACACGUGGGAAACCUGCCCAGAAGCGGGGGAUAACACCUGGAAACAGAUGCUAAUACCGCAUAACAACUUGGACCGCAUGGUCCGAGCUUGAAAGAUGGCUUCGGCUAUCACUUUUGGAUGGUCCCGCGGCGUAUUAGCUAGAUGGUGGGGUAACGGCUCACCAUGGCAAUGAUACGUAGCCGACCUGAGAGGGUAAUCGGCCACAUUGGGACUGAAACACGGCCCAAACUCCUACGGGAGGCAGCAGUAGGGAAUCUUCCACAAUGGACGAAAGUCUGAUGGAGCAACGCCCCGUGAGUGAAGAAGGGUUUCGGCUCGUAAAACUCUGUUGUUAAAGAAGAACAUAUCUGAGAGUAACUGUUCAGGUAUUGACGGUAUUUAACCAGAAAGCCACGGCUAACUACGUGCCAGCAGCCGCGGUAAUACGUAGGUGGCAAGCGUUGUCCGGAUUUAUUGGGCGUAAAGCGAGCGCAGGCGGUUUUUUAAGUCUGAUGUGAAAGCCUUCGGCUCAACCGAAGAAGUGCAUCGGAAACUGGGAAACUUGAGUGCAGAANAGGACAGUGGAACUCCAUGUGUAGCGGUGAAAUGCGUAGAUAUAUGGAAGAACACCAGUGGCGAANGCGGCUGUCUGGUCUGUAACUGACGCUGANGCUCGAAAGUAUGGGUAGCAAACAGGAUUAGAUACCCUGGUAGUCCAUACCGUAAACGAUGAAUGCUAAGUGUUGGAGGGUUUCCGCCCUUCAGUGCUGCAGCUAACGCAUUAAGCAUUCCGCCUGGGGAGUACGGNCGCAAGGCUGAAACUCAAAGGAAUUGACGGGGGCNCGCACNAGCGGUGGAGCAUGUGGUUUANNUCGAAGCUACGC
rnacentral:rRNA from 1 species